rnacentral:SRP_RNA from 1 species
GUCGAGCUUCGUAGCAAGAGCUUGUGACCCAAGCGGGGACAUUAAGGUUGGGCGCGCAAGCAACAUUU